AGCCACUUGGAGUAUAAUCAUCUGAAAGGACAAUCAAGAGCAGGUCCAGCUCCCAACAGCUCAGAUAUAGAAACAAAUAUGGCAAGAUUCAGACCCAUCAGAAGCAAAAUCCUCUAUCGGAGCCAUCAUAGAAAGCAACAAAAGCGAAAUCGUGGUGGGUCAGGAAGAAGGAGAAAAUUCCCCCAGCAUGGCAGAAAGAGAGGAGGUCUCAGAUCUCGUGGACAGAGGAGAAGUAGAAGAUACAAUUAAAGGUGUUUUUCAUUGUUUCUUCCACUCUUGUUUCGGAAAGCUGACUUCUCAAAUGAAACAAAGCAAUUUCUUACCAUCAAAAACACCAUGACAAUUUCAAAGAACAUGAGCAUCAUUGAGCAACGUCACCUGUCAAUAAAAAUUAGCAUUGCA